UAAACCUCUUCCAGAGUAUCAAUUGGAGGGCAAGUCUGGUGCCAGCAGCCGCGGUAAUUCCAGCUCCAAUAGCGUAUAUUAAAAUUGUUGCAGUUAAAAAGCUCGUAGUUGAAUUUCUGCUGCAUUUCAUUUCUCUUUCUGAGUUUGUUUUUGCGGCUUAUUUCGGUUUGAUUUUUUCUUUCCGGAUGAUUACUUUGAGAAAAUUAGAGUGCUCAAAGCAGGCUUUUGCCUUGAAUAGUUUAGCAUGGAAUAAUAAAGUAGGACUUUGGUUCUAUUUUGUUGGUUUUAGGUACCAAAGUAAUGGUUAAUAGGAACAGUUGGGGGCAUUCGUAUUUAACUGUCAGAGGUGAAAUUCUUAG
rnacentral:rRNA from 1 species